rnacentral:antisense_RNA from 1 species
ACGAGGUUCGUAGAGGUGCUGUGCAGAAAAUCCUGGCGGGCGUGGCGGACCUCGCGGUGCGCGCGGGCGACCUUCGCCCGGGCCUUGCGCCGAUUGUUGGACCCGCGCUGUUUGCGAGCCAUGCGCCGCUGAUAGCGGGCGAGGUUGCGGGCCUUGCGGUCCAGAUGCCCGGGGUUGGCGAUGCGCUCACCGUCGCUGGUGACCGCGAAAUCCUUCACCCCGAGAUCCACACCGACCGCGUGCCCGGUUUCCGGCUGCGGUUCGGGAUCGUCGGCGUCGACCUGGAAGGUCACGUACCAGCGCCCGUCCGGAUCACGCGACACCACCACCAUCGUGGGGUUGAUCGCAGUCGGAUCGAUGUCGUUCCAGGACCACACGAACUCAAGCGGGGCGGUGCGCUUGGCCAGCGUCAGCGCUCCACCGCGCAGGCGGAACGCGCUUCGGGCGUAGUGCGCCGACUGACACCCGGGGCGGUUCUCGAACCCGGGGUACUUCGCUCGUCCGGCGAAGAAAUUGGAGGACGCGACGUGCUGGUGCCGCAGGGUUUGUCGCAGCGGCACGCUGGAGACCUCGGAGAGGAACGCCAGCUCGUCGG